GAAACUGCAGGUAAUACCGGAUAACAUCCCCGGAUCAAAGGUGUGAUUCCGCCUGGGGAGGGGCUCGCGUCCUAUUAGCUUGUUGGUGGGGUAACGGCCUACCAAGGCAGCGAUGGGUACCGGGCGUGAGAGCGUGGUCCGGCUCACUGGGACUGAGACACUGCCCAGACACCUACGGGUGGCUGCAGUCGAGAAUCUUCGGCAAUGGGCGCAAGCCUGACCGAGCAACGCCGCGUGUGGGAUGAAGGCCUUCGGGUUGUAAACCGCUGUCAGUUGGGAGGAAAUCACGUGGGGUUCUCCCCACGUGUUGACCUAUCUUCAGAGGAAGGACGGGCUAAGUUCGUGCCAGCAGCCGCGGUAACACGAACCGUCCGAACGUUAUUCGGAAUCACUGGGCUUAAAGGGUGCGUAGGCGGCCCGGCAAGUUAGGUGUGAAAUCCCUCGGCUCAACCGAGGAAUUGCGCCCAAUACUGCCGAGCUUGAGGGAGACAGAGGUGAGCGGAACUUGCGGUGGAGCGGUGAAAUGCGUUGAUAUUGCAAGGAGCACCAGUGGCGAAAGCGGCUCACUGGGUCUCUUCUGACGCUGA
rnacentral:rRNA from 1 species